AGUUGAUAUGAAAUUUAUUUAUCUUGGUGGAAAUGUGUGUUCUUUUAUACCCAUUUCAACAUUUAUUCGAAAAAACUUUGGUUUGUUUCUUAAAAUAUUCAAAUGGGAUAAUAGUUUUCUUUUACAUAAUCUAUGAGUUUAUAUUGAUGUUUUAUUAUGUUUUUGGUGAUUUAGUGGUUUUUUUUUUCAAAUUGUGAUUUUAUAUUACAUAUAAAGUAUACACACAGGUUAUUGGAUACAAAAAGACAGACACUUCAUACUUCAUCAAGCUUCAUGUAUAUGGAGGUGUAAAAGGGUGGGUACGAGAAAAGUUAUUCAUUUAGAGAUAGACAUUUAUUUGGCCUAUUGGCAAUAUAGAUGCAGAGGAAAUAUUUGAGGAGGUAUUGUUUGACAGGAUUGGGCAGCAAACUUUAAGGGCUCGGAUGUUUUCAACCCGCGCAAAAGAUUUAAAUUGAUUGCGUUUAUCUAUACUAUCGUAUAAAGCAUUUCACAAGGGUUCCAACCAAAUUUAAAUAAUUGCAACAUAUUAUGCUUAUAGUACAACAACUCAAUGAAGUUAGUAAAGGGAAUUAGUCUUUCUACA